AUGGACGGCAGACCCGCGACGGCGGAUGACGUGGUGGAGGCGAUGCGGGAGUUCGUCUGGUUUCCGCCGCCGCGCCCCGCCUCCGAGUUCUUCUCCCGCUUCAGCGCCCCGCGGUCUUGCUCCAAGUGGAUCAGCCGCCUCGAGUGCAACCUCUACUACUAUGGGACCAACUACUUCAUCUUGAUCCUAUUGAUAGGGAUGAGCUUCCUUCAGAAACCAGUUGCUAUACUUACAGCUUUUGCAACUGGCCUCAGCAUUGCAUUUUUCAGUGACAGUUUUGCUGUUACUUCCACCAACAAGGUUAUAAGCAUUGUCAGAAAAUUUUCACCGGAUUUAGCGGCCCAGAUGAGACCAUACAUAAAUGAUUACCUUAUUGCCUGGUUUUAUUAUUAUUCCUUUACUCGGUUUCUUGGAGAGCUUUGUUUAGAUUGUUGCCAAUGGCAUUUCAGCUCUGUCCGUCAUGGCCGACCAAGUAUGAAAGGAUCAACUCAUAUUUGUGGCCGACCUCUGUCUAUGUGGGUCUUUGCCCUGUUCCUUUUUGAAGUUAGCUGCAUUUUCUGGGCGAGCUCCUGCAAUUUCCUGAUAGUUCCGUGGGAACUAUACGUUGGUCUACUCGUAACCUUGAUUCAUGCCAGCUUCAGAGAACGUAAUCUGAAAGGCCGUCUCAACAGAUUCAGGAAGGAAUUUCGAGAAGCAUGGUGA
rnacentral:rRNA from 1 species